ACAAUGGUGUUCCAGCAGUUUCCAGUUGAUGGCAUGCCUGAGCCUUGGUGGUUCCUGGGUUGUUCCUGAACAUCCUAACCAAUUUCAUCUCAUCUGAGGUUGAUAGUUUAGGUCGUCUUCCAGACCUUGGAAAAUUGGUUAUAUCUACAAAAAACCUGCAAUGC